AAUAUUGGACAAUGGGGUCAACGCUGAUCUAGCCCAGCCGCGUGGGGUGAGAAGGGCUUGGGAUCGUAAAGCACUUUAAGUUGGGAGGAAGGGCUUUAGGCUAAUACCCUGAAGUUUUUACGUUACCAACAGAAUAAGCGCCGGCCGACCUUGUGCCAGGAGCCGAGGUAAUACAGAGGGUGCAAGCGUUAAGCGGAAUUACUGGGCGUAACGCGCGGGUAGGUGGUUCAGUAGGAUGAGUGGAAAAUCCCCGGGCUAAACCUGGGAACUGCUUUCAUACCUGCUGAGCUAGGGUACGGUAGAGGGUAGUGGAAUUUCCUGUGUAGCGGUGAAAUGCUUAGAUAUAGGAAGGAACACCAGUGGCGAAGGCGACUACCUGGGCUGAUACUGACACUGAGGUGCGAAAGCGUGGGGAGCAAACAG
rnacentral:rRNA from 1 species